GGAGCACCUCCUCGGCCUUGUCGAUGCUCGACUGCUCAAGAUUCUCCAUGAACGUCCGGCCCAAAUAAUCGUAAGCUGAAGUCGCCAGCCUGGAGAGUGCGUCGGCCUGAGCGUUCUCCGACCUAGGGAUGUGGGAGAUCUCGAAAUAUCCAAAGUGCGCCACAAGAUCUUUCACCUUCUGAAGAUAUUUCGCCAUAGUCGGGUCUCGCACCUCGAAUUUGCCCUUGACCUGUCCCACGAUCAGCUG
rnacentral:lncRNA from 1 species